GACAGAGGGUGCAAACGUUUGUUCGGAAUUACUGGGCGUAAAGCGAGUGUAGGCGGUUCGAUAAGUCGGAUGUGAAAGCCCCGGGCUCAACCCGGGAAGUGCACUCGAUACUGUCGAGCUAGAGUAUCGGAGAGGUUGGUGGAAUUCUCGGUGUAGAGGUGAAAUUCGUAGAUAUCGAGAGGAACACCCGUGGCGAAGGCGGCAUCUCGUGG
rnacentral:rRNA from 1 species